rnacentral:SRP_RNA from 1 species
GCCGGGCGUGGUGGCUCACGCCUGUAAUCCCAACAGUUUGGGAGGCCGAGGCAGGUGGAUCACCUGAGGUCAGGAGUUCGAGACCAGCCUGACCAAUAUGGUGAACCCCUGUCUCUA